GGUAGCGUGGCCGAGUGGUCUAAGGCGCUAGAUUAAGGCUUCAGUCUCUUUGGGGCCGUGGGUUCGAAUCCCACCGCUGCCA
rfam:Danio rerio chromosome 4, GRCz11 reference primary assembly.